UGCCCCAUGGCUUAGUUGGCUAUAGCGUCCGACUGUUAAUCGGAAGGUCGAGAGUUCAAGCCUCUCUGGGGCAG
rnacentral:tRNA from 1 species